UACAGAGGCCUCGAGCGUUAGGCGGAAUCACUGGGCUUAAAGCGUGUGUAGGCGGACUUCUAAGUGCCUUGUGAAAUCCCCACGGCUCACCCGUAGAACUGCUGGGCAUACUGGGAGUCUUGAGCCACCUAGGGGCGAGCGGAACAAAUGGUGGAGCGGUGAAAUGCGUAGAUAUCAUUUGGAACGCCAACGGAGAAAUCAGCUCGCUGGGGGUGUGCUGACGCUGAGACACGAAAGCCAGGGGAGCGAACGGG
rnacentral:rRNA from 1 species